rnacentral:sRNA from 1 species
CAUUGUAGACUGAUGGAAGUGCUGAUUGAUAGAGGAGCUCUAUAUAUAAUAAAAUGCUGAACGAUAAGCUAGUUUUGGAGGGCUUUUACAUUGCUGAAAGGAAAUACUUAUCUAGUACUUUAUUGUAAAGAUACAUGACUUGUGUUAGAGAAUCUCUUGAGACUUAGCAAUAACUUUUUAUUUUUAAGAUAUAGAAAUGAUAUGUCUGUUUUAAAGUAGGGUGCUUUCUGUGAGUCCUCAUCCUUUAUGCAACAUUGUUUAACUUUAGGUUGGUCAUCAUUUUAUCCAAGCUUGACUGUGGUACAGCAUGGCAUUCCAUGUUGUGAAGUUCAUAUUGGCGAUGUAUGUCUACCUCCUGGACACCCCGAUGCCAUUAAUUUUGAUGAUUCAGGUGUUUUUGAUACAUUUAAAAGCUAUGACUUCACACCUAUGGAUUCUUCCGCAGUUUAUGUGUUAAGUAGUAUGGCUCGCCAGCGUCGUGCAUCUUUGUCUUGUGGAGGACCUGGUGGUCAAGACUUUGCAAGAUCUGGAUUCAGUAAAAACUGUGGCUCAC